CAGCGCCCCGCCUGCCCCCAGCGCCCAGAUGCCAGCUCCCGUCCCCAGCGCCUGCCCCCCAGCUCUCAGAUCCCAGCUCCCGAGCCCGCUCCCGCCUCGGCCCCAGGCUCCUUGGCCGCAGGAAACACCCCAUGUCGAGCCAGACGUGGGCUAGGAGCGGAAGUGUAGCCCCAUCUUCACUGCUGAAAACAGCUUCGUCUUCACGGGGCAGAGAUACCCGACGGUGACUUGGACAGCGACGGUCUUGAGGUUGGAAAGAGGUGCUCCCGCCUUACUCUGCAGCCGCACCCGUGUUCCCGCAACUCCCAUGGACUGACUGGAGGGCUGUCUGCUUCACCUGGCAGGUCCCAGCCUCGGGGUGAAAGGAAUCAGGACACCCCCCCGCCCCCCGGCGUCCAGGGCCGAAGUCAGUCAGUCAGCCUGUGCAGGGCCCCCGCCCCACGGGGCUGGUCACAGCUUGAUGAUAGAGCUGGCCCUGCCCCUGGUGGCUUCUGUCCUGCGCUGCUGGGCACACAUCAACGUGCAGGCUGAACGGUGGGUCUGCCUCUGGACCGUCCUGGUGAGGGUUGUUCAUGCCCUCGUUUACACUCCAUAACCCCCAUGUUGCCACCCAGGUACCACCUGGGCAAGCAGACGGGGGUCUCUGUGCAGAAGCGGGAAUUCCUGCAGUGCCAAGUUGUCACUGUGACAAAGCACAGGAACCCGAGGGCAGGCUGUUAAGAGACUAGAGAAGGAGGAGGGAACAAAACUGGGGGCAGGGCUGGGAGCUGCCAGGAUGGAUACCAUGGGGCUGCGGGAGCUGUGGGUGGGAGUGGGGGACGUCCACCGUGGCGUCAGGGCCCAGAUGGGGGGAUGCCCACUUAGGUUAGGGCCCAGGUCGGGGGGAUGUCCUGAGUGAGGUCAGGGCCCAAAUGGGGGGACAUCCACAUAGGUCAGGGCCCAGAUGGGGGGAUGUCCAGAGUGAGGUAAGGGCCCAGAUGGGGGGACAUCCAGAAUGAGGUCAGGGCCCAGAUGGGUGGACAUUCACAGUGAGAUGAGGGCCCAGGUGGGGGGUGAGGGGUGAUGCAGGUUCCCCUGACUCUCCACUCCAGGCCCUCUGCCUCAUGGGCACCCCUCACCUUUACCUGGGUCCCCUCUCCACCAUGUGAUGCUCUACUGGGAGGAGGAUAUCAUGAGUUUUUGUCUAUAUCCCCAAAAGUACACUGGAAUGUCCUGAAGCUGCAUUGUCCUCCCUGAGGUUGCUCCGUCAUCAGAAUGGGAUGUACAGGUUGUCACAUCGAUUUGAACCCAUAGCAGUUACUCUCAUUCCUUGAUGGAAUAUUACUCAGCCAUGAAAAGCAAUGAAGUUCCAACACUUGCUUACAAAGUGGGUGAACCCUGAGGACACAAUGCUCAGCGAGAGAAGCCAGUCACAAAAGUCACGCUUUUUUUAAAGAAACUUUUUAUUAUAGUUGAUUUACAAUGUCCUCUCAAUUUUUGCUGUACAGCCAAGUGAAAACCCACAUUUUCUUGAUUCCGUUUAAUAUGAGCCAUCCAGAGCAGAUAAAUCCAUGGAGACAGAAGCAAUCUGGUGUUUUCAGGCGGAGGGGCGAGGACACUGAGAGUGAUUAACGGGACAGGGUCUCCUCCAGGGGGAUAAGGAUGUGCUGGAACCAGAUAGAGGUGGUGCUGGCACAACACUGGGAAUGGGCUAAAUGCCCCCAAAUUGUUCUCUUUAACACAAAACAAUUUUUAACAAUAAAAAACCCACACCAAGG